ensembl:lncRNA
UCCCGCCUCUCUUCUCGUCCCCAUCUUCCCCUGUUUCCAGUGCCACAUCCUUCCCUUUUCUAUUCCCUGUUCCUAUUCUUCUGACCCCUGUGUUUCCUUGUCCCUCCCCACUCUCUCCCCCAACAGGAAUCCUUGGUCUUCCAGAUGUCAUUACCCCCAGCAGCAGUGAUGUCUCCUCCCCACCAGGAUGGUCAUCGGAUGUCAGUGAGCAAAGCAGAUCAGGGAACUCAGAGGACACCCCACUGCCUGAUGAGGAUGUAUUGGGGAAUAAAAUAGGUGUCCCGGCCUUGUCGAUUCUCAUCUAUGCAGCAGUACGUCGGCAGGAGCCAACCUUUGUUGAUCGCAUCAAGGAGAUCCAUCAGCACAGUCAGCCCCAGAGGGCCGAGAGUAGCCGGCUGCAGGCUUCCUCUGGUAGAAGCAAGAACCAGCAAUGCAAGGAGGCCCUCGGGUUGCCCAACAGGGACAUCACGGGGCAGGAGGACCUCUGGAGCUGCAGGAGAAGAACCCUUCUGAAGCUGCUGAGGUGCUUGGGGGAGCUCUAUAAAUCAUGGCAGGGUGAGGGCUCCUACAAAGGCAAGCACCGACUCCCGUGGUCUAUUAAGAGCUGUCUGGCAGAGUUCAACGAGCAGUAAGAGCAUUGCUCUGAGCAGGAUGCUCAUGAGUUCCUGCUCCUCGUCCUCAUGAAGAUGAAGAUGGAAGGUGAGGCACUACAGGAGACCUCCACGUCACCCAGCUACAUCUGCCCCGUCCAGAACUUUGAGUUCAGACUGCAGUGUGUCUGCACCUGCUCAAGCUGUGGUGACAAGGGCUUCCUGGACGGGGAGCAGAACCACUUUCCUUUGACCUCCACCCUUCGUUGAUAGCCGGCCUCCAACUCUACUUCAAACCUUCAGAUUUGGAGUGCACCUGCCAGCAGUGCUGAAUGCCAGGCAUCAGAGAUUCAGCAUUUCCUCACUCUGCCCAGAGUGCUUCACAUGAAGCGCUUCCACCAUGACGGGGCAUGGUUGAGGAAGGUGACCGAUGCUGCCAGCGUUCCUCCAUGGCUGUCUCUGGCCUCCCUCGUUGGAAAGCAGGGUGCUGCAGCUGGGAUUGGACACACUGAGUGGAACAUCUUGACAGUGCAGGAGACAGGGACAGAGAACUCCAGGAAGUGCAUGUGGUGAGAGGGGGCAGAGGGGGAGGAUCACAGCAAGCAGAGCCCCCUCCGUCUGUAAGGGAAGGUCUCUCACCUCGGGGAGAGCAUCGACACUGACGCCGGUCCUGAGGACCAGAGAGGAGCCCGCCUACAUUUUGUCUACGUCCUCAGUGGAGCAGGCGAGAGAGACCAUAUCCCACUAAACGUGUAGAGAGAGACCCAGGGGCCCGAGGACCGUCCCCUGGAUGACCAUGGAGACGGAGAGACCCAGGGGCCCGAGGACGUCCCCUGGAUGAACGUAUAGAGAGAGACCCAGGGGCUCGAGGACGUCCCCUGGAUGAAUGUAUAGAGAGAGACCCAGGGGCCCGAGGACGUCCCCUGGAUGAACGUAUAGAGAGAGACCCAGGGGCUCGAGGACGUCCCCUGGAUGAAUGUAUAGAGAGAGACCCAGGGGCCCGAGGACGUCCCCUGGAUGAACGUAUAGAGAGAGACCCAGGGGCUCGAGGACGUCCCCUGGAUGAAUGUAUAGAGAGAGACCCAGGGGCCCGAGGACGUCCCCUGGAUGAACGUAGAGAGAGG